rnacentral:lncRNA from 1 species
GAGGGAGCCUCGCCGCUCCUUAGGCGCUUGGUGCGCCUUGAGGAUGGGUGUAGUGUCCAUUGCCUCUUGUGAGGCGCCGGACACGUGCUCUUGCGAGCGGGAAGAUUUCAGAGGGAGUCCCGCCUUGGAGGGCAAGACCCCUGCGCCCACCAGCCCGGAGGUCGAUGGGGCUCCCAGAGGGAUUUGGCUACGCCGGCCGUUGCCAGCGCAUGAAGGAACCUCGGAAGUUGAGGCAGCCUCGGCUGCGCCCUCCUUCGGGGUCGAUGGUUCCUUCUCCCCGGUUGACGGAGCAGCGCUAGCUGCAACCGUCGCGGGGGCAGAUGGCGUGACUGCCGACUCACUGCUUGUGGGUCGGACAGCCGCCGGAGGCCGUUGUGACGCUGCCCCCUGACGCGCCACUUCGGCAAAGCUUUUCUUUGGCAGGAUGGGCACGACCGUGAGUACGCGGCGUGAUCCCCAUCACAGUUUACACAGUGUAGAGAGUUCUUACAUUCUUCAGUUGCGUGUUCAAGGGCACUGCAUUUGGCGCAUGUUUGGCGGCCUUGGCAGCUCUGCGAGCUGUGGCCAAAACGUUGGCAUUUGAAACAUCUCAAGGGAUUUGGCACAUACGGGCGUACACGAAGCUUGAUGUACCCGGCCUCGAUUGACUCGGGCAGGACACUUGAAUUGAAGCCCUCCAAGAGCUCAGCCUCAGAGAGCUCCAGCAAAUCAUCGUCCGAGACAACGCCGCGGGAAGUAUUCAUCGUGCGGUGCGGGGUUACUACUACUUGGGUCUCCCCAAAUGAUACUA